rnacentral:lncRNA from 1 species
AAAGUUUUCAUUAAAGUUGAUUUUAGGUGAAGCAAAUUAAAAUUUAUUAUUACUGCUACAAAUUCUUUUCUAGAAAACUUACCGUUCUUUACUAGAAUGCAAGCCUAUACCAACUAACGUAAGUUUCCUACUUGGUGCAGAUUUGAGCAAAAAAUAGAAAAGAUCUUUCAACUUUCAAGAAUAUAAAAAUUGAUUUGUAUGAGACUACAGAGUAAUAUUCAG